rnacentral:lncRNA from 1 species
CCGCAGCCCUGGGGACGGCUCCUGCGUCUGGGCGCGGAGGAGGGCGAGCCGCACGUCCUCCUGAGGAAGCGGGAGUGGACCAUCGGGCGGAGACGAGGUUGCGACCUUUCCUUCCCCAGCAAUAAACUGGUCUCUGGAGAUCACUGUAGAAUUGUAGUGGAUGAAAAAUCAGGUCAGGUGACACUGGAAGAUACCAGACGGAGUCUCGCUCUGUGGCUCAGGCUGAAGUGCUGUUGGUGCGAUCUCGGCUCACUGCAACCUCCGCCACCCGGGUUCAAGCGAUUCUCCUGCCUCAGCCUCCCGAGUAGCUGGGAUUACAGCACCAGUGGAACAGUGAUUAACAAGCUGAAGGUUGUUAAGAAGCAGACAUGCCCUUUACAGACUGGGGAUGUCAUCUACUUGGUGUACAGGAAGAAUGAACCGGAACACAACGUGGCAUACCUCUAUGAAUCUUUAAGUGAAAAGCAAGGCAUGACACAAGAAUCCUUU